UGGAAUCUUCAUCCCACGUUUUAAAUAAUGGACCUUUGGGACUCAUUGCACGGGCAACACGUGCCGCCAAUUAGGAGCGAACUAUUAAAGCGCAGGUAAUGUACGUGUGUUAUAGCCACGUGGUGAAUACCCGUCAAAUAGAAGCGAGGAUAGAAGAGGAAGGAAAAGGAGGAAAAUGGAAAAAUGAAAACGAAACGGCUGCUCAUAUUUAAACCUGAAAACUAUACGGUCGGGCUAUUUUCGAAUUUUAGUCGGUUCCACGAUUCAGUUCGCUUGCCAGUCCGUAAAGCAGAUCGUAAAAUUUUCAUAUAUGGAAACAUGACCGAGCUUACGCCUUUCAGAGGUUUUCUCUAUCUCAGAAAAAAGACGAGAUCUGCAAUCGCAGCAUAUGAAAUUUCGUGUUGAUCGGUGAAUCAUAUCGCGAGGAUAAAACGAACAAAAAUCACGUCUUCUGAUGCGGUUAUUAAUCGUAGUAAGAGUCAAAAUUCUGACUAACAUCCCCGUAACUUUGAUAAAUGGGACGGUUAUUUGAAUGGAAACCAUAUCAAUCGUUGCGUGUUACAACUAUAGGAUAAUUGAUGCUCAAGUUUCCGGAUUUAUACUUUCCAGUAAUAGACGUAGAUCGCCCCACCCCUUAAGAUUCUGCCACCGUAAUUCUUUGACUAUUUUUAUUCCGUUCCUUUGAUUUUCCUUUAUUUUUCUCAGCUAUAAUUUUUCUUGUUUUCGUAAAGAUUUGUUCCUCAGGACGGGCGUCGCGACUCUGUGCUCUGGAAAAAUAACGGAAGAAAGAAAGAAAGAAAGAAAGAAGAGCGGAGUUCUUCUUGGCCAUAUUUUAUCGGGCGCAAUCUGUUUGGUGUUAACUGGCUUGGUAGCAGUAUUUCGACACCGCUAAGAAGGACCCUGUCGAAGGAGAAAACUAGAACUCGAAUCCCAGCAGAGCUUUUGUAAUACAAAAUAGGAGAACGAAACGAAACGAAACGUAACGGUACGGAACGGAAUGGAACGGAAGGUAAAGGAACGACACCACGAAUCGCAGUAACACUCUCUUUCUCUUACUCUCCCACAUUCGGAUCUUCACUAUUUUUGGAACGCGCAGGAGAGGUAAUAUUUCUGUUGGCAGUAGGUUUCUCCGGCGCAAACCCAAGAAUAGAAAGAACACGUUAAAGUUAUGCCUCGUUGAGACUGAAAAAGAACUUCAAAUUCAGGAUAAUUCGGAAACAGGACCUUCGAAUUACGCACAUCGUUUAUUCACUUUCCUUAUUCAUUUCUUCCUCAGACAGCACCGGAUAUUCUUCAUCGCGAUUCGCCCCGCCGGUUGAAUGAAGAGGGAAAAGAAUGUCGAAGAAAAAUAAGAAAACGAAGAAGAUGAAGAAGAAGGAACGGCUUCUAAUCUUCCGUCGUUAUUAUACGUGUAUCGUUAUAGUUGCUGUGUUUACAUCUAUUUCCGUGCUCCGAGAUUCCUCAUCUUGGAAUUAGACCUGUACCACCGAUGCUUAUAAAUCAAGAUGAUCUUUUUUUAACGACUGGCUUUAUCAGGACGACGAUAUACACGCUGGUUAUAAUGUAACUAUCGUGCUGCCAACACCUCAUGUCGAGCACUUUGGUAAAAGUUCUUUCUUCAACGCAACGAAGAUGAAUUAUCCAGCUGCUACUUGCCCAUUUAGCAUAUGGAAAAGAUUUGGAUUUUGACAGAACUUAAGACUUGAAUUCUUUGAACUUCAAUCCUUCUACUCUUGUCGAGCGAUCAACUGAUCAAUUUGUUCUGGCUUCCGAGGAUCGGUUGAUCCAUUGUGUGAAUAGAAAUAAUGGAAAGACGGAAUGGGAGAUCAAAGAGGAAAUAUAAUCCCUCUUGAGUAAAGAGGUGGAUUAAUUUUAGUGGAGAGCAUUUUUUCAAACUCUUUGAGGUAAUUUUUCUUUCAGUUGAUUUUUUUCUAUUUCGUUUAAGUAACAGUCACCGAUGACUGGAGAAAUGUCAGAGAGCGGUUGCCAGAGUGGUAAUAUUGGUUAACCGGAAGUAGAAAACGUGAAUUAACGACUGACAUCUGCAAUUCUGUAGUCAAUGGUCUUUUUUCACUCUACAAGAAUGUUUAUCUUUGGCUCUUGGGAGUUUAGAAAUAUAAGCAUUGGAAAAUUAAGCAAGCCGCUACCAAUAUUUCUUCUAGUUCAAACAUGUCUUCCAUCACAUGUAUGAGCCCGUUAAGAUUCAGAAUCUUUCACUGGAAAGGGGAAAUCUAAGGGAAAUUUAUUUUCAGUUAAAUUGAUAAAUCCGAGUGUUUUAUUUAGAUAAACAGCCGAAAAUCCAGGCGUCAAAGGCCUUUGUAAAAAUGAAAAUGUCGUCUUCAGACCAUAUCGCCAACAAAUUUAAUUCUCUCCCAAUCAGCGAUGAAU
rnacentral:lncRNA from 1 species